CUUCGGGUUAGUGGCGGACGGGUGAGUAACGCGUGAGAAUCUGCCCUCAGGAGGGGGACAACAGCUGGAGACGGCUGCUAAUACCCCAUAUGCCGCGAGGUGAAAUGAAUUUCGCCUGAGGAUGAGCUCGCGUCUGAUUAGCUAGUUGGUGUAGGUAAUGGCUCACCAAGGCAUCGAUCAGUAGCUGGUCUGAGAGGAUGAUCAGCCACACUGGGACUGAGACACGGCCCAGACUCCUACGGGAGGCAGCAGUGGGGAAUUUUCCGCAAUGGGCGAAAGCCUGACGGAGCAACGCCGCGUGAGGGAUGAAGGCCUCUGGGCUGUAAACCUCUUUUAUCAAGGAAGAAGAUCUGACGGUACUUGAUGAAUAAGCCACGGCUAAUUCCGUGCCAGCAGCCGCGGUAAUACGGGAGUGGCAAGCGUUAUCCGGAAUUAUUGGGCGUAAAGCGUCCGCAGGCGGCCCUUCAAGUCUGCUGUUAAAAAGUGGAGCUUAACUCCAUCAUGGCAGUGGAAACUGUUGGGCUUGAGUGUGGUAGGGGCAGAGGGAAUUCCCGGUGUAG
rnacentral:rRNA from 1 species